ACGAAUGCCUCCAUUGUCUUUAAUAUGACAUUUUUGGGUCUUUGUUCGCACUCUUCUUUUCUUCAAUGUUUUUAUGAUCUGGAUAUGUGAACAUCAGAGAGAGAUAUCUGGGCAAAGUGAGAGGAGGGAUGAAAUCCUAUUUUGGCUGUCCUUGCUGUGUGUCUGCUAUAUUUGCAAGAAAAACCUGUUAAAAGCGUGUCUUUUUCUUGUUAGUGACUGAAUAUUGUUUCUUGACAUAGUGAAUUAGGUACAAACCGUGCAAUUGGGAAAUAUUAUUUCUGGUGAGGAAAUAAUCUCGUUUUGUUUAGAAGUUCUGUCGUGAUGCUGCAAAAGAGAAAGUGAUUACGGGGCUCCCUAAAAUAAGCUAAUUGAAACAAACAUAAGAAUGUUGGGUAGCUUUUAUUAAUAAAUAUUAUAAGAGAAGAGUUGCGAUUUGUGCCUGUUAGUAAGACUGAAUUGUUUUAGUAGUUAUUAGUUAUUUUAGCAGUUAUUAGUAAGCGUAACUGCCUCUGAGCAAUUGUUAGGUCUCUUAUAAGUAAUUAUUAUAAGAUGAGAGUAGGGAUUUAGGCUUUUUAGUAGGAGUGAAUUAGUUUAGCACUUAAAGUACCAAAAUGCUAAAAAGCCUCGAUCCCGAUUCUCCUCUUAUAAUAUUUACUUAUGAGAGGCCUAACACAAUGUUAUCCGUUCAAAGAAUUAACAGAACUCAUACACUUUGAUAAUCUAAGAAAAUGAGAACUUCAUUUACUAUUUUAGGCUUUAGCAUGAAUGGUUUAAUCCGUGAGAUGCUUCUUCACAAUGCUCUGCAUGUAGGUUUGAAUGUAAUAUGACAUUCCUAUGGUACAGUGACUAAUAAUUUUUUACAAAUAUUUAGAAAUCCCUAUACGCAGGUAGCUGCCAAUGAAUAUGAAAUGCUUGACAACUCACCUUGCAUCCUAAUAAUACAGGAACAAAUUGGUUUCCAGAAUAAUGUACUUUUUGUGUUGUCUUUUCAUUACGACUAAUAUUUUAUAAUAUGAAACUACAGGCAAGUGUCUACGGAGGAGGGGGAAGUAAAGUCCCGAGAGCUGAACGUUAUGUUUAUUGAAGCUAGUGCAAAAGCUGGAUUCAAUAUAAAGGCCCUCUUUCGAAAAAUUGCUGCUGCAUUACCCGGAAUGGAGACACUAUCUAACACAAAACAGGAAGAUAUGGUCGACGUGAACCUUAGGUCUUCUGGUAACCAUGAUUCCCAAUCUGAGUCGGGUGGAUGUGCUUGCUAAAUGUGCCUUUUCCUAAAGUUUUGUAUCUUUCUGCUCUACGCUAUUUAUUUUGGAAUGUGUUUGUCCAAGUUCUGUAAA